GGAUGCGGUCAUACCAGCAUUAACGCAUCGGAUCCCAUCAGAACUUCGAAGUUAAGCGUGCUUGGGCGAGAGUAUUACUAGGAUGGGUGAACUCCUGGGAUGUCCUCGUGUUGCAUUCC